AUUGAACGCUGGCGGCAGGCUUAACACAUGCAAGUCGAGCGAGCGGCGGACGGGUGAGUAAUGUCUGGGAAACUGCCUGAUGGAGGGGGAUAACUACUGGAAACUGUAGCUAAUACCGCAUACCCUCAUAAGCGCCCAGAUGGGAUUAGCUAGUAGGUGGGGAAAUGGCUCACCUAGGCGACGCUCCCUAGCUGGUCUGAGAGGAUGAUCAGCCACACUGGGACUGAGACACGGUCCAGACUCCUACGGGAGGCAGCAGUGGGGAAUAUUGCACAAUGGGCGCAAGCCUGAUGCAGCCAUGCCGCGUGUGUGAAGAAGGCCUUCGGGUUGUAAAGUACUUUCAGCGAGGAGGCGUUACUCGCAGAAGAAGCACCGGCUAACUCCGUGCCAGCAGCCGCGGUAAUAC
rnacentral:rRNA from 1 species